rnacentral:rRNA from 1 species
GCCCACAACCAUGCCACCCUGAACGCCUGGUCUUGUCUCAUCUAGAAGCUAAGCAGGGGCGGGCCUGGCUAGCGUUCAGGUGGGAGGAGUGUCCAGCAGGCUGUCUGCU